rnacentral:rRNA from 1 species
AUUGAACGCUGGCGGCAGGCCUAACACAUGCAAGUCGAACGAGUGGCGGACGGGUGAGUAAUGUCUGGGAAACUGCCCGAUGGAGGGGGAUAACUACUGGAAACGGUAGCUAAUACCGCAUACCAUCGGAUGUGCCCAGAUGGGAUUAGCUAGUAGGUGGGGUAACGGCUCACCUAGGCGACGAUCCCUAGCUGGGCUAAGAGGAUGAGCAGCCACACUGGAACUGAGACACGGUCCAGACUCCUACGAGAGGCAGCAGUGGGGAAUAUUGCACAAUGGGCGCAAGCCUGAUGCAGCCAUGCCGCGUGUAUGAAGAAGGCCUUCGGGUUGUAAAGUACUUUCAGCGAGGAGGCGUUACUCGCAGAAGAAGCACCGGCUAACUCCGUGCCAGCCGCCGCGGUAAUUC